AGAAAUUAAAGUGAAUUUGCACUAUUAAAUUAAUAGAAAGAUAAUUUUGCAGUUGGGAAGAUUUGAACCCAAGAUCUUGCACACCCAAAACUCUGAUACCAUGUUAAGCAACAUAAACCCUCCAUCUAACAUACACCUAUUCACCUCCCCGUCUAGGUGUGCAUACAUUCAAAAUUACGAAGGAUACAAAUUGGUUAGAUUUCACCAUCUUUCAUGGAUGAACUCUUCCUCCAUUUCUCCACUACAAACUUUCCCUUCUCAAUUUCACAUUUAAUUUCGGAUAUCAAGCAUCUAAUUAAUUAGCUAACCCUAGCUAGUGAAAAAGAUCCAAAAUCUUGGGCUUCUCCUCUUCAUCACCGGUCUUCUCCUCUUCGUGGUGUCCACCGCUAAAAGACACAGUCCAUUUUUUAGUGAAAAUCGAUCUGAUUACGCUGGUUACCAAAUAAACAGUAUGGCCAAUCGAUUCAAAAAGGAAUGAUCAGAAUACAACUAAAAAAAAGUUCAGAUCAAAUCAAAAAUUAAUUGUGAGAAUUAAUUACAUGUGAUUAAUAAAUAAAAUUAAGGUAGUUGUGUUACCAGAUCGUUUAAUGGAGCGGAUAGAGUCCAGGUAUAUAAGGAGGAAGGUCAUCCCGAAAAAAUUCGAGAUGAAGAGAAGAGCAUUUGCUUGUGCCUGGAUAUUAUCGAUCCAACUAACGAAAUUAGAAUUAUGCAACUGGAUUCGAGUUUCAUAUUGAAUCAGAAUUGCUUAAUUAGAGCUCAUAUUAAAUCUGGUUUGCAAAAAUUAUCAUAUAAUUUAUUUAAAAACCAUAGUAAUAGAAAUUGUUUAAAACAAUAAAUAAAUAAAUAGACAGAUAGUAUAAAAUAUGGGGGAUUUGAAGAUAAUUUCUUCACAUACUAUCUCUAUGAUCGCAUUGGACAAAUUUUGUCAAUUUCAAACCAGCAUAUUCACUCCCUCUUUCUUUAUGACUAAUUGUCCUCGAAAUUUUUAAACCAAGAUGCCCAAUUAUUUGUGGAUAAUUAACUCAUCAGAAAAUAAUUUCUUCAAUAAUGUAGUAAACUAUGCUAUUUCCUUAAGAGUAUUUUGUACUACCUCCAUUCUAAAUUAUAAGACCACUAUGUCCUAUUGAAAUGCUAAUUUGAGACAUUUUUAAAAUCAAAAUUGAGAAGAUUCAUAAAACUUUGAAGCAAUAAAUAUUACAAUUAGACUUGACAAUAUAAGUAGUUAACUGUUGGGUCAAACCAUAUUAACUGGAACCAAAUGGGUCGGUUAACCAUUUUUAUUUAUUCAGGUUGGUUAAAGUUUGAACCCAUAUUUUUCAAACAAAUAUAGUUAAUUAACUGAUUAACCAUUUUUUAACCCAUAUUCUAUUCAAUUGCACUCCCCUCUCUCUCAGUAACUGCACCAAACAUGAUUAUUUUUUUUUGGGUGAGUGGUGUAUACAUAAUCACUUAAUAUUAAUUUAUUUUGGGAGAGAGUGAUGGAGUGGGGGUGGGGUGGGUGGUGUACAUAUUAUUUUUUUUGGGUGGUNNNNNNNNNNNNNNNNNNNNNNNNNNNNNNNNNNNNNNNNNNNNNNNNNNNNNNNNNNNNNNNNNNNNNNNNNNNNNNNNNNNNNNNNNNNNNNNNNNNNUUUCUAAACCUUAUCUUCUUAUUGCAAGCUCCAGAGAAAACGCUCAAGCAGGGUUACGGAAUUGGAAUCUCAGAUUUCUCAGCUUCAGGAAGAUUUGAAGAAAGUGAAGAAUCAGCUAAGCUUGUCAGAAUCAUGGAAGCAGCAAGCCCAGCAAGAUGCAGAGGAGUCAAAAAAGAAGCUCCUAGCCAUGUCUUUAAAGCAGGAAGAAGAAUCCCAACAACUAUUGUCACAGUCUGCUUCUGAGGAGUCCCAUCAUAUUGAACUAGAAAAGAUCUCUCAAGAGCUAGAUCAGGCAUGGCAAUCUGAGAUCGAGGCCUCUCAAAAGAAACAAUUUGACGAAUCGGCAACAUUGGCCUCUGCACUAGAUGAGAUUAGGCAACUCAAGGUUCAGCUUGAAAUGGUAGUUGAUUCAGAGGCUACACAAACCAAACACGCAGAAUCAGCAUCUGCAGAGCUUGUAAACUUGAAAGAAAAGCUGGCAGAAACCCUUUUGCUUGCAGAGGACAUGAAAAACCAGCUUAGGGACUGCAAAGAGUCAGAAGUUCAGGCCCAAGCUCUUGUUGGUGAAACUCUUUUGCAACUAGAGACGGCUAAAAGAACUGUAGAGAGUCUAGGAUCAGAUAACACUAAAGCCAUGGAAGUGUUCGAUGCUAUAGCUUUGGAAUUGGAUCAAUCGAGGGUGCGUGUAAAUUUGCUGGAAGAGCUUGUUGACAAACUUAAAAAAGAAACUACCACUGCUGCUAACAGUGUCUCUCAAAAUUCUGCUGAAAAUGGAGAAAGAGAGAAGUCAAUUGAAGCAGAGCUUGUAUGUGUAACUUCUGAAGUAGAAUAUUUAAGGUCUGCUCAAGAAACUGCAGAGAUCAAAUACCAUGAAGAACAAAUUCGAAACACUCUGCAAAUUAGAAGUGCUUAUGAGUUAGUGGAGCAGGUAAAGUCUAAAUCAAGCCAAAGGGAGGCUGAACUGGAGGCAGAACUAAAGAAAUCAAAAGUGGAUAUUGAGGAUUUGAAGGCAAACCUGAUGGACAAGGAAACAGAAUUGCAGGGUAUUUGUGAGGAGAAUGAAGUUCUGAAUAUGAGGCUGGAGACUACUUUGUCGGGCCAGAGAGAAAUUCUAUUGGAAAAGGAGCUGAAGAAAACAAAGUUAGAUGCCGAAAAUUUGCAGGCAAGUUUGAUAGAUAAGGAGACGGAAUUAAAGACCAUGUCAGAAGAAAAUGCAAUGCUGAAGUUGGAAACCAAAAAAAAGGAAUUGAACACGGGUAAUUUAAACGAUGAAGUUGUUGCUGAACUUGAAGCCGCAAGGGCUGCUGAACAAGAUGCUGUCAUGAAGCUUGGGUACGUGACGGAGGAGGCAGAUGAGAGUAACAGGAGGGCAGCACAAAUGACCGAGCAGUUGGAGGCAGCGCAGUUUGCAAAUUCAGAAAUGGAGGCAGAGUUAAGAAGGGUAAAGGUGCAGUCUGACCAGUGGAGGAAAGCGGCAGAGGCAGCUGCAUCUAUGCUCUCUACUGGGAAUAAUGGGAAGUUUGUCGAGAGAACAGGUUCAUUGGACAGCAACUACAGUCCCACGACUGGUAAGAUUGGUUCGCCUUAUGCCGAGGAUAUGGAUGAUUUUCUGAAGAAGAAAAAUGGGAACGUGCUGAAAAGGAUUCCCCUCUUAUGGAAGAAGCCACAAAAAUAAUAGCAUCCUUUUGCAGGUAGCCUUACUACCUGCAUUUCUUUAGUUUAUUGUUACAACAAUGGGUUUCAUAACUAAAUCAUUUGUUUCUUCUUUGAACAGAUGCUUGGCAACAGCCAAAUCGUCUUUUAGAGAGAAGGAAUUUGUGUGCCGCCAGUGCUUCAGUUACGUUUUCUAGUACUUUACAGUAUGCAAGUGUGAUAAUGAAUCUUGGUCCUUUAUGUCAAGCCUUAAUGUAUAACCCAACUUUGCAAUUUUGCUGCCUUCAGAUGGUGGUAUACGUUAUUUACUGUGUAUCAGAUGACUAAUAUGAUGUAACCAGUUGCCAUUCAUGGCACUGCUUGGAAUAUACUUGCUUUGUCACGGAAUGAUUAUCAUUUAUUUUUGAAUCUUUUUUCCCCCGUAAUAUUAAAUUUUGUCUUGUACACACUGGACAUCAUUUUUUCCAUUUGAUAUUGGUAAAAAAAUAUAUUAUGUGGAGGCGUAUGAUGCCUGUCCUUAAUAGACCUGGCAAAUCAAGCUAAGCCCGUGGGUCAGGUUUUGGGUGGUAGAAUUUUAGCUCAGUAAAUUCUGGGUAUUUUUGGCCCAGCCCGCCAUCUGUUUGGUUUGUUUGGGCCAAAUCAAAAAAAUAAUAUAAAAUAGGCACGAACUGGUUUCGGCUCGCAGCCUGGCCCGAUCCAUCCGUCACUGGCGGACUUUGGGCUACAGAAUUUUAGCCCAUCAAAAUUUGGACCUUUUUAGCCCGCCCGUUUUUGACUUGCCACUCAACCGGCUUGUUUGGGCUUGACCCGCCCGUUUGCCAGAUCUAAUCCUUAAUAACCUUAAUACGUGGAAAAAUAAAUCAAAAGUCAAAUGAGCUGAUUUUGGGACAUACUCGGAAUUGUUAUUUUCACUAGUCUCCAAACUAAUUUUUGUUCGUAAAAAUAUAGUGAUAAAUAUGGUAAAGGAUGUUAUAGACGACUGAUAUUAUAUUUAAUGUUAUAUAAUUAUUAUUUUUAAUUAUUGUGAAUAACUUUAAAAUAUCAUAUUAUAGGACAAAAAGAGUAAUUUAUGUUUGUAAGAAUAUCAGUUUUCUUUAUUAUAUUGACUAUCUAGUUAAGGUAGAGAUAAGACUAGAGUUUUCUUUUAUAUUACCUUCGCCCAAAAAUAAGAAUUUAUGUAGACAUUUUUCAUAUUUGCCAUGCAUACUAAGCUUUUGAAUAGAUUACAUUCAAACAAAUAUAUUUUUAAUAGCAAAGUUUAAUCUCAAAAUGUAAUAUUAAAAAUAUUGAAAAUUUAGAUUAAAAUGAGACUCAAACAAUAAGUCAAAAGUCAGACAGAAUUGGAUUUUGUACUUGUCAAACUUACUAGAGAUUUGAUGUUUAGAUGCUUGGAAUAAUAAGUGGGCUACAAAUAGUUGAACUUGUCAAACUUACUUGAAAAUUUGAAGUUGUUUAAAAUUUAACUUCAAAAAAAUCGAAUUUGUCCUUGAAUAUUUAUCCAAACAGUUGUUAUUAUUUUUUCUUGAUUGUGUCAAAAUCAAAUACAACUAUAAAAUAUUAAAAAUACAAUUUGACUAUUGAAAUGACACGACGACAUAUUAAACUUGAAAAUUGAUACGACUUCAAAUUGAAUUGAAUUGGAUGGAUGGUUGGAAUUGGCUAGCUAGAUAUCUGAUCAGAUAAAAUUUGCCCAUUUUGGUUUUCGACCUUAAAGUUUUAAGUUUCAGUUUCUGCUUCCUUCCUGGAAACUAAUUAACAUUGCCCACAUGGAUAUUUUCUAAUCUUAGCGUUAGUUGAACAUAUAUAUACAAGGUAUCUUUGCUAUUUUGACAUUGUAUACAUAAACCAUGACUCGUCAAAUUCGUGCUGCCGAAUUCUGACCAACAUUUUCAUAUUACGUACGUGGUGCAUGUUUUGAGGUUCAAACAUUAUUUUCCCUAUAUUUGAUUUUGUAAUAAUGGUCAGAGAGAAACGGAUCCAAUAAGAAGAAUGAUCAGAAAAAAAAAGAGAGCGGAGACAUUAUUAUGCCUAGCUACUGCUCCAUAUAUAUAUCAAUAUGGUAUUUCUAAUGGUAAUUAAGGAACAAAACAAACAAUGACAACGUAUGAAGAGUUACGCGCGUAGUCAUUUUUCUAGGAUUCCAAUUCCAAAUGCGAAUGAAGGUACGUAGGAUACGACCGACGGAAUUUGAAAUGGGAUAAUCUGCAUGAUUGGAAUAAUAUAUAUAGAUACGUGGUGGUGGGGUGGGGGGUAAGGGGUAUAUACAUAAUCACAUAAUAUUAUUUUUUUAGUGGUAGUGGGGUGGGGUGGGGUGGGGUGGGGUGGGGAUAAGGGGUAUAUACAUAAUCACAUAAUAUUAGUGUCAAAUCAGGUAUUCAUGAAACUCAUAAUUCAUAAAAAUAUUAAAAUGGUUAAUAUGGUUUUUAACCAUAACCAUAUGGUUCUAACCCACAUUAUCCAUAUUAAAAAUGGUUAAUAUAGUUUUAGUUCUUAAAUGGAACCAUAACCAUAUUUUGAAAACCAAAACCAACCCAUAACUAUAUUUUGUGAAGCCUAAUUACAAUGAACAAUACUUUUUCAAUAACAUACAAUAUUCAUCAUUGUGUUAAUUGAAAUUAAAUGAAUUCAUGUCAAUUUUGAAUUUUAAAUUUUUUUAAGUUAUUUUAUUUAAAAAAAUAAUAUUUACCACUAAGUUAUGAUCAUUUAUCUUACUUUAAGUUUUUCUUAAGAAAAGAAGUUGAGUUGAGAAAUAGAUCUUUUACCUUUUCUUACAGCAAAAAUAUUAAGCCAAAAGUUGUCAUCUAUUGACUACAGAUUACAUGUUCAGACAAUAUAAUAACUUAAUUUAUAUGAGUAUUUAAUGUUGGGAAAAAUUACCUCUCAAAUACUGUUGUCUUUUGAUCAAUUAGACAAAUAAAAUAUCAGCACAUGCCAAACAGAAUAAAUUUGUUGUUUCACCAAAAUAAUAAUAAUACAAGAAAUAAUGAGUAAAAAAUAUCCAACCACAAGACACAGAUUUUUACGUGAAAAACCCUCUAAAACUAAGAGGUAAAAAUCACGGGACAAACUCCGAAGAAUUCACUAGAACAAUAUGAGAGAAUACAAAGAUAUCUUAAUUUGAGUACAAACCCAAAUUACUUCACCACAAUAACUAUGUGAUGGAACCCAAAUAAAAUACCCUCUUAUUUGAACUAUCUUUCUCUCUCUAUUUUUCUAAAGCUUCACAAAAACUUCUUUCUCUCACUCUCUAUUUCUUCCAACUCUUAGAUUGCUCUAGAAUAAAAUUUAAGAGAGUUUUUGGUGU
rnacentral:lncRNA from 1 species